GAUGAACGCUAGCUACAGGCUUAACACACGCAAGUCGAGGGGUAACAAGAGAAAAGCUUGCUUUUCUUGUUGACGACCGGCGCACGGGUGAGUAACGCGUAUCCAACCUGCCUAUAACUAGGGAAUAACCUUGCGAAAGUAAGACUAAUACCCUAUGAUUUCCUUUGAUGGCAUCAGAUUAGGAAUAAAGAUUUAUCGGUUAUAGAUGGGGAUGCGUCUGAUUAGCUUGUUGGCGGGGUAACGGCCCACCAAGGCAACGAUCAGUAGGGGUUCUGAGAGGAAGGUCCCCCACAUUGGAACUGAGACACGGUCCAAACUCCUACGGGAGGCAGCAGUGAGGGAUAUUGGUCAAUGGGCGGAAGCCUGAACCAGCCAAGUAGCGUGCAGGAUGACGGCCCUAUGGGUUGUAAACUGCUUUUAUACAGGAAUAAAGUUAGCCACGUGUGGUUAUUUGUAGGUACUGUAUGAAUAAGGACCGGCUAAUUCCGUGCCAGCCGCCGCAGUAA
rnacentral:rRNA from 1 species